rnacentral:misc_RNA from 1 species
GUGGUGCCAGCAAGCACGUGCAACCUGGUUCCUAAGCCCGGGUGGAUUUCAUCUGUGGUUAUGGAGGUUCUGAAUGCGAAAAUGGAUCAAGGGAUAUUGAUCUCUGCAGCUUUCACAUGCUGGUUUAUUUUGGAAUGCUUGGAAUAAAGCCUUAUUUGAGCAUCUUAAUACUAAUCUGCUUCUCACAGCUCGGCAGAUAUCUGUUGAAAUAUCAGAUACGCACUUGACCAGUUUUGUGCAGCAAUCUCCCCGGAGGAAUUCUGUAGACAAUAACGGAAUCAAUUCAACUAGGUUUGGCAUCCCCCUCCUAUUAAUACUUUGAAAUUUAGUAGUCAUGUUGCCUGGAAGGAAGGUGAGAGUAAUGCAGCCAUAGCAGGUGUGGUUAGGAAUCAUGUGGGGAAAGUUAUAGAUGGUGCAGCAAGAUUAGUUCAGUGUUCUACCCCCUCUAGCAUGUGAGGCGAUAGGCAAUUCAGUUGGCGUUUACCAUGGGAGCCUACUCCAUCAUCCUUAAUCGGUCCUAGAGGUUCUUAUCUCAGCCCUUGAGAGUAUUCAGAGGGAUGAUUGUUGGGAAAUUCAAGCUUCGGUCCAAGCUGUCAGAAGUCUAGCAGUUCCUGCUAAAGUAGCAGCUCGCAACUUAGCUGAGUUGUGUUUUAAUCACCGUUUGCCUUGUAAUUGAUUAGUGGCGAGUCCUAGCUCCUUUGAGGCCGUCUGUAGGGCCAUGUAAUGCAUUUGCAAUUAAAAAAAUGUAUAAUUAAUGUUAUUAUGUUACAUUAUAUUCUACUGAAC